GAGUUUGAUCGUGGCUCAGAUUGAACGCUGGCGGCAUGCCUUACACAUGCAAGUCGAACGGCAGCAUGAUCUAGCUUGCUAGAUUGAUGGCGAGUGGCGAACGGGUGAGUAAUACAUCGGAACGUGCCCUGUAGUGGGGGAUAACUAGUCGAAAGAUUAGCUAAUACCGCAUACGACCUGAGGGUGAAAGUGGGGGACCGCAAGGCCUCAUGCUAUAGGAGCGGCCGAUGUCUGAUUAGCUAGUUGGUGGGGUAAAGGCCCACCAAGGCGACGAUCAGUAGCUGGUCUGAGAGGACGAUCAGCCACACUGGGACUGAGACACGGCCCAGACUCCUACGGGAGGCAGCAGUGGGGAAUUUUGGACAAUGGGCGAAAGCCUGAUCCAGCAAUGCCGCGUGUGUGAAGAAGGCCUGGUUGUAAG
rnacentral:rRNA from 1 species